rnacentral:misc_RNA from 1 species
UCUCCGUAGGUGAACCUGCGGAGGGAUCAUUACAGAGUUCAUGCCCUAACGGGUAGAUCUCCCACCCUAUGUUAUCAUCACUUUGUUGCUUUGGCGGGCCGUCAGGCCUCGGCUUGGCUACCGGCUCUCGCUGGUAAGCGCCCGCCAGAGAACCCCAAACCCUGAAUAUCAGUGUCGUCUGAGUACUAUAUAAUAGUUAAAACUUUCAACAACGGGUCUCUUGGUUCUG